rnacentral:rRNA from 1 species
UACGUAGGUGGCAAGCGUUGUCCGGAAUUAUUGGGCGUAAAGCGCGCGCAGGCGGUUCCUUAAGUCUGAUGUGAAAUCCCUCAGCUUAACUGGGGAACUGCGUCUGAUACUGGAUGGCUUGAGUUUGGGAGAGGGAUGCGGAAUUCCAGGUGUAGCGGUGAAAUGCGUAGAUAUCUGGAGGAACACCGGUGGCGAAGGCGGCAUCCUGGACCAACACUGACACUGAUGAGCGAAAGCCAGGGGAGCAAACGGG